rnacentral:rRNA from 1 species
AUACGGAGGAUGCGAGCGUUAUCCGGAUUUAUUGGGUUUAAAGGGUGCGUAGGCGGACGAUUAAGUCAGCUGUGAAAUGCCCGCGCUUAACGCGGGAAGUGCAGUUGAUACUGGUUGUCUGGAGUGCCGUUGCCGUGGGGGGAAUGUGUAGUGUAGCGGUGAAAUGCAUAGAUAUUACACAGAACGCCGAUUGUGAAGACACCUCACGAAGCGGUAACUGACGCUGAGGCACGAAAGCGUGGGGAUCGAACAGGAUUAGAUACCCUGGUAGUCCGCACAGUAAACGAUGAAUACUUGUUUUCGGCGAUAUAAUGUCGGAGGCAAAGCGAAAGCGAUAAGUAUUCCACCUGGGGAGUACGCCGGCAACGGUGAAACUCAAAUGAAUUGACGGGG